CCUACGGGAGGCAGCAGUGAGGAAUAUUGGUCAAUGGACGAGAGCCUGAACCAGCCAAGCAGCGUGAAGGAUGACGGCCCUAUGGGUUGUAAACUUCUUUUGUAUGGAAAUAAAAUGUUGCACGUGUCUGCUAUUGUAUGUCUCCUAUCAAUACGGAUCGGCUAACUCCGUGCCAGCAGCAGGGGUAAUCCGGAGGUACCGGGCGUUAUCCGGAUUUAUUGGGUGUAAAGGGAGCGUAGUUGGAUUGUUAAGUCAGUUGUGAAAGUUGACGGCUUAACCGUAGAAGUGCAGUUGAAACUGGCAGGCUGGAGUGCAGUAGAGGUAGGCGGAAUUCGUGGUGUAGCGGUGAAAUGCUUAGAUAUCACGAAGAACUCCGAUGGCGAAGGCAGCUCACUGGACUGCAACUGACGCUGAGGCUCGAAAGUGUGGGUAUCAAACAGGAUUAGAUACCCUUGUAGUC
rnacentral:rRNA from 1 species